CAGCAGCAGCCGCGGGAAUACAGAGGGUGCGAGCGUUAAUCGGAUUUACUGGGCGUAAAGCGUGCGUAGGCGGCUUCUUAAGUCGGAUGUGAAAUCCCUGAGCUUAACUUAGGAAUUGCAUUCGAUACUGGGAAGCUAGAGUAUGGGAGAGGAUGGUAGAAUUCCAGGUGUAGCGGUGAAAUGCGUAGAGAUCUGGAGGAAUACCGAUGGCGAAGGCAGCCAUCUGGCCUAAUACUGACGCUGAGGUACGAAAGCAUGGGGAGCAAACAGGAUUAGAUACCCGCGUAGUCCCUGUCUCUUAUAC
rnacentral:rRNA from 1 species